AUAUAAUCUAAAAAAGCAAAGAAAAAAAAAAUCUGUUCUUAUCAGUUUAAUAUCUGAUACGUCCCCUAUCUGGGGACCAUAUAUUAAAUGGAUUUUUGGAACAGGGAGAUGGAAGAAGAGCUUGCUCUGUCCACUCCACGCAUCGACCUGGUAUUGCAGUACCUCCAGGACCGGUGCACUUCUC
rnacentral:snRNA from 1 species